rnacentral:rRNA from 1 species
UACGAAGGGGGCUAGCGUUGUUCGGAAUCACUGGGCGUAAAGCGCACGCAGGCGGACUGAUAAGUCAGGGGUGAAAUCCCGGGGCUCAACCUCGGAACUGCCUUUGAUACUGCCAGUCUAGAGUCCGGAAGAGGUGAGUGGAAUUCCUAGUGUAGAGGUGAAAUUCGUAGAUAUUAGGAAGAACACCAGUGGCGAAGGCGACUCACUGGUCCGGUACUGACGCUCAGGUGCGAAAGCGUGGGGAGCAAACAGG